AAAGACUGACGCUCAGGCACGAAAGCGUGGGGAUCAAACAGGAUUAGAUACCCUGGUAGUCCACGCUGUAAACGAUGAUCACUCGUUGUUGGCGAUAUACUGUCAGCGACUGAGCGAAAGCAUUAAGUGAUCCACCUGGGGAGUACGGCGGCAACGUUGAAACUCAAAGGAAUUGACGGGGGCCCGCACAAGCGGAGGAGCAUGUGGUUUAAUUCGAUGAUACGCGAGGAACCUUACCUGGGCUUAAAUGCAGGACGACGUUUCGUGAAAGCGGAAUUUCCUUCGGGACGUCUUGCAAGGUGCUGCAUGGUUGUCGUCAGCUCGUGCCGUGAGGUGUCGGGUUAAGUCCCAUAACGAGCGCAACCCUUAUCAUUAGUUGCCAUCAGGUCAUGCUGGGAACUCUAAUGAAACUGCCUACGCAAGUAGUGAGGAAGGUGGGGAUGACGUCAAAUCAGCACGGCCCUUAUGUCCAGGGCGACACACGUGCUACAAUGGCCAGUACAGAGGGUUGCGAA
rnacentral:rRNA from 1 species